ACGAGGCACUACGGUGCUGAAGCAACAAAUGCCCUGCUUCCAGGAAAAGCCUCUAAGCAUCAGGUAACAUCAAAUCGUACCCCAAACCGACACAGGUGGUCAGGUAGAGAAUACCAAGGCGCUUGAGAGAACUCGGGUGAAGGAACUAGGCAAAAUGGUGCCGUAACUUCGGGAGAAGGCACGCUGAUAUGUAGGUGAGGUCCCUCGCGGAUGGAGCUGAAAUCAGUCGAAGAUACCAGCUGGCUGCAACUGUUUAUUAAAAACACAGCACUGUGCAAACACGAAAGUGGACGUAUACGGUGUGACGCCUCCCCGGUGCCGGAAGGUUAAUUGACGGGGUUAGCGCAAGCGAAGCUCUUGAUCGAAGCCCCGGUAAACGGCGGCCGUAACUAUAACGGUCCUAAGGUAGCGAAAUUCCUUGUCGGGUAAGUUCCGACCUGCACGAAUGGCGUAAUGAUGGCCAGGCUGUCUCCACCCGAGACUCAGUGAAAUUGAACUCGCUGUGAAGAUGCAGUGUACCCGCGGCAAGACGGAAAGACCCCGUGAACCUUUACUAUAGCUUGACACUGAACAUUGAGCCUUGAUGUGUAGGAUAGGUGGGAGGCUUUGAAGUGUGGACGCCAGUCUGCAUGGAGCCGACCUUGAAAUACCACCCUUUAAUGUUUGAUGUUCUAACGUUGACCCGUAAUCCGGGUUGCGGACAGUGUCUGGUGGGUAGUUUGACUGGGGCGGUCUCCUCCUAAAGAGUAACGGAGGAGCACGAAGGUUGGCUAAUCCUGGUCGGACAUCAGGAGGUUAGUGCAAUGGCAUAAGCCAGCUUGACUGCGAGCGUGACGGCGCGAGCAGGUGCGAAAGCAGGUCAUAGUGAUCCGGUGGUUCUGAAUGGAAGGGCCAUCGCUCAACGGAUAAAAGGUACUCCGGGGAUAACAGGCUGAUACCGCCCAAGAGUUCAUAUCGACGGCGGUGUUUGGCACCUGGAUGUCGGCUCAUCACAUCCUGGGGCUGAAGUAGGUCCCAAGGGUAUGGCUGUUCGCCAUUUAAAGUGGUACGCGAGCUGGGUUUAGAACGUCGUGAGACAGUUCGGUCCCUAUCUGCCGUGGGCGCUGGAGAACUGAGGGGGGCUGCUCCUAGUACGAGAGGACCGGAGUGGACGCAUCACUGGUGUUCGGGUUGUCAUGCCAAUGGCACUGCCCGGUAGCUAAAUGCGGAAGAGAUAAGUGCUGAAAGCAUCUAAGCACGAAACUUGCCCCGAGAUGAGUUCUCCCUGACCCUUUAAGGGUCCUGAAGGAACGUUGAAGACGACGACGUUGAUAGGCCGGGUGUGUAAGCGCAGCGAUGCGUUGAGCUAACCGGUACUAAUGAACCGUGAGGCUUA
rnacentral:rRNA from 1 species